UGGUAGACUACCAGGUCGAUAGGCUGGAGGUGUAAGCGUGGUAACACGCUCAGCCGGCCAGUACUAAUAGACCGUGAGGCUUGACCCA
rnacentral:rRNA from 1 species